GUCGUACGAGAACUCUUUAGCUUGCUAAAGAUAGUAAAGUGGCGCACGGGUGAGUAACGCGUGGGUAAUCUACCUCUAAAUCUGGGAUAACAUUGCGAAAGCGAUGCUAAUACCGGAUAAUAUCUCAAAACCAUCUGGUUUUGAGAUCAAAAAUGGCCUCUACAUGUAAGCUGUUGUUUGGAGAUGAGCCCGCGUACCAUUAGCUUGUUGGUAGGGUAAUGGCCUACCAAGGCAACGAUGGUUAGCUGGUCUGAGAGGAUGAUCAGCCACACUGGAACUGACACACGGUCCAGACUCCUACGGGAGGCAGCAGUGAGGAAUUUUGCGCAAUGGGGGAAACCCUGACGCAGCAACGCCGCGUGAGUGAUGAAGGCCUUCGGGUCGUAAAGCUCUGUCAAGUGGGAAGAAACUGUAAAAUGUUAAUACCAUUUUUCACUGACGGUACCACUGAAGGAAGCACCGGCUAACUCCGUGCCAGCAGCCGCGGUAAUACGGAGGGUGCAAGCGUUAUUCGGAAUUAUUGGGCGUAAAGGGCGCGUAGGCGGCCUUUUAAGUCAGAUGUGAAAGCCCGGGGCUUAACCCCGGAAGUGCAUUUGAAACUGAAGAGCUCGAGUACGGGAGAGGGAAGUGGAAUUCCUGGUGUAGAGGUGAAAUUCGUAGAUAUCAGGAGGAACACCGGUGGCGAAGGCGACUUCCUGGACCGAUACUGACGCUAAGGCGCGAAAGCGUGGGGAGCAAACAGGAUUAGAGACCCUGGUAGUCCACGCCGUAAACGAUGAACACUA
rnacentral:rRNA from 1 species